CUAGUGUCCAAAUAACUCUAAAUUCAGUCUUUGUUACUUAGAAUAUGUUCCCUUAGUGUCCAAAUAACUCUAAAUUAAGUUUUUGUUACUUAGAAUAAGUUCCCCUAGUGUCCAAAUAACUCUAAAUUCAGUAUUUGUUACUUAGAAUAUGUUCCCCUAGUUUCCAAAUAACUCUAAAUUCAGUAUUUGUUACUUAGAAUAUGUUCCCCUAGUGUCCAAAUAACUCUAAAUUAAGUCUUUGUUACUUUCAAUAUGUUCCCCUAGUGUCCAAAUAACUCUAAAUUCAGUCUUUGUUACUUAGAAUAUGUUCCCUUAGUGUCCAAAUAACUCUAAAUUAAGUAUUUGUUACUUAGAAUAAGUUCCCCUAGUGUCCAAAUAACUCUAAAUUAAGUCUUUGUUACUUAGAAUAAGUUCCCCUAGUGUCCAAAUAACUCUAAAUGAAGUCUUUGUUACUUAGAAUAUGUUCCCCUAGUGUCCAAAUAACUCUAAAUUAAGUCUUUGUUACUUAGAAUAUGUUCCCCUAGUGUCCAAAUAACUCUAAAUUAAGUCUUUGUUACUUAGAAUAAGUUCCCCAUACUAAAGUGUUACCAAAAACAUAUAACUUUGUCUUGAAUUUGAAAAAAACCAACAUUUUAUUUGUCACUAAAGAAGGGUUGGGUGAAUGCUCAUAUGACACUGGUGGGGUUGGGUACCUCCAACAAGGUUAAGAACCACUGGUCUAGACUCUGAGGUGGGGGUUUUUCUGUUUUGGAUGCAUGCAUGCCCAUAAAGUUCUCAGUGGCCUCUCCGUGUGAAAAGGAUGGAUGAAAUAUAGGAAAUGGACUUUAUGCAGAAAAGGACUAACUUAUACAGAAUACCUUCCCACCCCCACAGCUCUCACUCAAGCCUUGUUUUCCACAUUCAUCUUUUCUGCGGAAUUGAUCAUGUUUUGUUCCGUGUUUUCAUUUUUAAAACUCGACACGAUCCGAUUUUGUUCCUUUUUUGUAGUUUUUCUUUCCAGAACUGUCUUGUGCAUUGACAAUAAUCACACAAUCAUUCAGGGGCUCGUAGUAGGAUUCUCUACAAAACAUACGUCAGCAGGAGAAGGGAACAAAAGGGGGAAACAAAUCAUUGACUGUUUUUCUUCUCUUCUGAGAAUAACCGCAGGAUGUUUUGUGUGAUUUCCUAGGAAAUGUCAGCGCCAUUUGCAAUUAUUGUCUAGUUUGUAUCAUUUCUGUGUUUUCAGAUUCCUCAUAAAGAACUAACUAUAUGUACAUUAUGGAAGCCCUUCCUAAAUAGGAAAGGGGAUGUUGUGAGAGAUAAAGUACUAUACAACA